GGACCCGCACAAGUAGUGGAGCAUGUGGUUUAAUUCGAAGAUACGCGCAGAACCUUACCAACACUUGACAUGUUCGUCGCGACUUUAAGAGAUUAAAGUUUUCGGUUCGGCCGGACGAAACACAGGUGCUGCAUGGCUGUCGUCAGCUCGUGUCGUGAGAUGUUGGUUAAGUCCCGCAACGAGCGCAACCCUCACUUUUAGUUGCCAUCAUUAAGUUGGGCACUCUGAAAGAACUGCCAGUGAUAAGCUGGAGGAAGGUGGGGAUGACGUCAAGUCCUCAUGGCCCUUACAUCCUGGGCUACACACGUACUACAAUGCCGGUACAGAGAGCAGCCACUACGCGAGUAGGAG
rnacentral:rRNA from 1 species